UGUGAACAACUGAUUCUACACUGUGGAUGAUUAUAGGAUAUGUGAAUAUAUUUCAAUAAAAUUUCCAGGAUUAAAAAGAGAACAUACUGGAAAUAAAAGCAGAGACUGCUUUGAUAGACUUAUGGUAGCAAGUCCUUCCAAAGCACCACCGUAAGGUUUUGAGAGAACAUCCAAGGCAUCACGAAGGCGGUGAUUCGGCGUCUUGCUCGGCGUGGAGAAGUUAAGCGGAUUUUCGGCCUCAUUUUCGAGGAGAUGUGAGGUGUGCUGAAGCAUGAUCACAGGACUGUUAUUCAUAUGGUAGAAGAAUUAUAGAUUUUGUGGAGCAAGAAUUCUCACUUUCAGCUUGGACAAGGAGCUGUGCUGACAGCGUUAUUUCCCAGGCACACAAAAGGAGCUGACAAGAUCAACGUGCCUGCCACAACCCUUAGACGCUCUGACCAGGAAUUGCAUCCAUUCCUUGCAAGUGUUGAAGGCAAGAAGCAGCCGUUCUCAAACAUGAGCAAAUCCAGCACCAUCGAGUCCUUCUUGGCAAAACUACUUGAUGCGGAAAGUCAGCCAACCAUCGAAUGAAUCAAAAUAAGGAACUCAGGAAUGAAAAGGACCUGACAGAGGGAGUGAAGGUGAGCCUUGUUUCACUUCAAUGUAAAACUAAGACUGAACUCUAUGGGGAUUAUUAGAAUAGGAUACAAUGUAAGUGCUAUAAACCCUGAUAGCUCCCCAAAUAACAUUUAAUUAACAAAAAGUGAAAUGAAAGGCAGUAGGAAGUGUAAGUGUGCAAAGAGGCACUCAAUAUUAUCAGUCAAUAAUAUUUAAAAGUGAAAUGUGGUUUAAAAACAGCUAUAGUAAUUCCAACCACUCAAUUUUUUCCUUUAUGAUUUUUCUUAAACUUGGUGGUAAAUAAACACUUUUCCAAAAUAAGAAGUGUUCUAUAGUUCACUUCUGUUUUAUUGUUAAGUGUAAAUAAAAUUAAAUAAUAUUAAA